UGGCAGACGGGUGAGUAACGCGUGGUCAACCUACCGUUGAGUGGGGGAUAACUAGCCGAAAGGUUAGCUAAUACCGCAUACGUCUCCGAGGGGCAUCCCUUGGCGAUAAAAGGAGCAAUCCGCUCGAUGACGGGACCGCGUCCCAUUAGCUAGAUGGCGGGGUAACGGCCCACCAAGGCGACGAUGUCUAGGGGAUCUGAGAGGAUGACCCCCCACACUGGUACUGAGACACGGACCAG
rnacentral:rRNA from 1 species